rnacentral:misc_RNA from 1 species
CGCACCUUGCGCUCCUGGGUCAUUCCUGAGAGCAUGCUUGUUUGAGUGUCGCGUACCUUCUCAACCCCGCCCUUUUAACAAAGGGUAGCCGGGCUUGGAUCAUGACGCCUUGUCGCUCUGGCCUCCUUGCGAAGGUCGAGGGACUGCGUUGAAAUGCAAGAAGCUGAAUCUUUAACCGGGCGGCUUGACCUGUUGUCAUAAGUCUAACACUUUCAAUGGGGACGCUGGUUGGAACGGGCUUACCACAAAUGCGACCCUUCGGGGACGCACCUUUGACACUUUGACCUCAAAUCAAGUAGGACUACCCGCUGAACUUAA